rnacentral:tRNA from 1 species
UAAUAUAUAGCAUAAUACAAUGCAUUUAAUUUCGACUUAAAUAAUAGUAUAAUUUACUUAUAUUAA